rnacentral:rRNA from 1 species
GGGCUAAUACCCGAUAACACUGACGCUCUGCGGAGUGUCUUUCAAAGAAGGCCUCUGUUUACAAGCUUUCACCGGAGGAUGAGCCCGCGUACCAUUAGCUAGUUGGCAGGGUAAUGGCCUACCAAGGCUAUGACGGGUAGCUGGUCUGAGAGGACGAUCAGCCACACUGGGACUGAGACACGGCCCAGACUCCUACGGGAGGCAGCAGUGGGGAAUAUUGGGCAAUGGGCGAAAGCCUGACCCAGCGACGCCGCGUGGGCGAUGAAGGCCUUCGGGUUGUAAAGCCCUGUCAUGCGGAAAGAACGACCCUGAGACGCAUACUCUCAGGGAGUGACGGUACCGCAGGAGGAAGCACCGGCUAACUCCGUGCCAGCAGCCGCGGUAAUACGGAGGGUGCAAGCGUUGUUCGGAAUUAUUGGGCGUAAAGGGCGCGUAGGCGGUAAUGCAAGUCAGAUGUGAAAUACUCCGGCUCAACUGGGGAACUGCAUCUGAAACUGCAUAACUAGAGUACAGAAGAGGGAAACGGAAUUCCCGGUGUAGAGGUGAAAUUCGUAGAUAUCGGGAGGAACACCAGUGGCGAAGGCGGUUUCCUGGUCUGAUACUGACGCUGAGGCGCGAAAGUGUGGGGAGCAAACAGGAUUAGAUACCCUGGUAGUCCACACUGUAAACGGUGAACACUAGGUGUGGGAGGUGUAAUACCUUCCG